AUUGAACGCUAGCGGGAUGCCUUACACAUGCAAGUCGAACGGAGUGGCGAACGGGUGAGUACUGUAUCGGAACGUGCACAGUAGCGGGGGAUAACUACGCGAAAGCGUAGCUAAUACCGCAUACUCUUGGAGCGGCCGAUAUCGGAUUAGCUAGUUGGUGGGGUAACGGCGCACCAAGGCGACGAUCCGUAGCGGGUUUGAGAGGAAGACCAGCCACACUGGGACGGAGACACGGCCAAGACUCCUACGGGAGGCAGCAGUGGUAAAUUGUGGACAAUGGGGGAAACCCUGAGCCAGCCAUCCCUCGUGUGGUAUGAAGGCCUUCGGUUUGUAAAGCACUUUUGGCAGGAAAGCGGUACCUGCAGAAUAAGCACCGGCUAACUACGUGCCAGCAGCCGCGGUAAUUC
rnacentral:rRNA from 1 species